UGCUCAACAUUUAACUUGCAGCGCGAACUGGCGGACUUGAGUGCACGCAACGUAUGCGGAAUUCAUGGUGUAGCGGUGAAAUGCUUAGAUAUCAUGACGAACUCCGAUUGCGAAGGCAGCGUACGGGAGUGUUACUGACGCUUAAGCUCGAAGGUGCGGGUAUCGAACAGGAUUAGAUACCCUGGUAGUCCGCACGGUAAACGAUGGAUGCCCGCUGUUAGCGCCUGGCGUUAGCGGCUAAGCGAAAGCAUUAAGCAUCCCACCUGGGGAGUACGCCGGCAACGGUGAAACUCAAAGGAAUUGACGGGGGCCCGCACAAGCGGAGGAACAUGUGGUUUAAUUCGAUGAUACGCGAGGAACCUUACCCGGGCUUGAAUUGCAGACGCAGGAUACAGAGAUGUUGACUCCCUUCGGGGCGUCUGUGAAGGUGCUGCAUGGUUGUCGUCAGCUCGUGCCGUGAGGUGUCGGCUUAAGUGCCAUAACGAGCGCAACCCCUUUCCUUAGUUGCCAUCAGGUGAUGCUGGGCACUCUGGGGAUACUGCCACCGCAAGGUGUGAGGAAGGUGGGGAUGACGUCAAAUCAGCACGGCCCUUACGUCCGGGGCUACACACGUGUUACAAUGGCCGGUACAGAGGGACGGUGCGAUGCAAAUCGCAUCCAAUCUUGAAAGCCGGUCCCAGUUCGGACUGAGGUCUGCAACCCGACCUCACGAAGCUGGAUUCGCUAGUAAUCGCGCAUCAGCCAUGGCGCGGUGAAUACGUUCCCGGGCCUUGUACACACCGCCCGUCAAGCCAUGAAAGCCGGGGGUGCCUGAAGUUCGUAACCGCGAGGAGCGACCUAGGGCAAAACUGGUGAUUGGGGCUAAGUCGUAACAAGGUAGCCGUACCGGAAGG
rnacentral:rRNA from 1 species